rnacentral:rRNA from 1 species
UAAUACGUAGGGGGCAAGCGUUAUCCGGAUCUACUGGGUGUAAAGGGAGCGUAGGUGGUUCGGUAAGUCAGAUGUGAAAGCCCGGGGCUCAACCCCGGGACUGCAUUUGAAACUAUCGGACUAGAGUGCAGGAGAGGUAAGUGGAAUUCCUAGUGUAGCGGUGAAAUGCGUAGAUAUUAGGAGGAACACCAGUGGCGAAGGCGGCUUACUGGACUGUAACUGACACUGAGGCUCGAAAGCGUGGGGAGCAAACAGGAUUAGAUACCCUGGUAGUCCACGCCGUAAACGGUGAAUACUAAGUGUCGGGGGGCAAAAGCCCUCCGGUGCCGCAGCUAACGCAAUAAGUAUUCCACCUGGGGAGUACGUUCGCAAGAAUGAAACUCAAAGGAAUUGACGGGGACCGCACAAGCGGUGGANCAUGUGGUUUAAUUCGAAGCAACCCGAAGAACCUUACCAGGUCUUGACAUCCCUCUGACGUCUUAACGGACUUUCUUCGGACAGAGGGACAGUGUGCAUGUUGACGUCAGCUCGUGUCGUGAGAUGUUGGUUAAGUCCCGCAACGAGCGCAACCCUAUCUUNGUAGCCAGCAUGAAAGAUGGCACUCUAGGAGACUGCCCAGGGAUAACCUGGAGGAAGGCGGGGAUGACGUCAAAUCAUCAUGCCCUNAUGAUCUGGGCUACACACGUGCUACAAUGGUGGCUACAAAGAGAAGCAAACCCGCGAGGGGGAGCAAAUCUCAGAAAGGCCAUCCCAGUUCGGAUUGUAGUCUGCAACUCGACUACAUGAAGCUGGAAUCGCUAGUAAUCGCGAAUCAGAAUGUCGCGGUGAAUACGUUCCCGGGUCUUGUACACACCGCCCGUCACACCAUGGGAGUCGGAUAUGCCCGAAGUCAGUGACCCAACCGCAAGGAGGGAGCUGCCGAAGGUGGAGCCGAUGACUGGGGUG